GAUGAACGCUGGCGGCGCGCUUAACACAUGCAAGUCGAACGAGGUCCAUGGAGCUUGCUCCGGACGACCUAGUGGCGAACGGGUGCGUAACACGUGAGAAACCUGCCCCGGUCUCCGGAAUAACAGUUGGAAACGACUGCUAAUACCGGAUAUCGCCGGUGCACCGCAUGGUGUGCCGACGAAAGAUUUAUCGGAUUGGGAGGGUCUCGCGGCCUAUCAGCUAGUUGGAGAGGUAACGGCUCACCAAGGCAUCGACGGGUAGCUGGUCUGAGAGGAUGAUCAGCCACACUGGGACUGAGACACGGCCCAG
rnacentral:rRNA from 1 species